rnacentral:rRNA from 1 species
CCUACGGGAGACAGCAGUGAGGAAUAUUGGUCAAUGGGCGCGAGCCUGAACCAGCCAAGUAGCGUGAAGGAUGACUGUUCUAUGGGUUGUAAACCUCUUUUAUAAAGGAAUAAAGUGAGGCACGUGUGCCUUUUUGUAUGUACUUUAUGAAUAAGGAUCGGCUAACUCCGUGCCAGCAGCCGCGGUAAUACGGAGGAUCCGAGCGUUAUCCGGAUUUAUUGGGUUUAAGGGGAGCGUAGGCGGGUGAUCAAGUCAGCGGUAAAAUGUUGGGGCUCAACCCCGGCAGGCCGUUGAAACUGGGUGUCUAGAGUAUGAUAGAGGUAUGCGGAAUGCGUGGUGUAGCGGUGAAAUGCAUAGAUAUCACGAAGAACCCCGAUUGCGAAGGCAGCAUACC